rnacentral:rRNA from 1 species
AGUGAACGCUGGCGGCAGGCCUAAUACAUGCAAGUCGAACGGACGGACAGUAAGCGUUCUCCUCUACGGGUAGCGAGUGGCGGAUGGGUGACGCAUGCAUAGCCUUCCUAUUUUACGGGGGGAACUUCGUGGGACCACAUCUGCUACCAGAGCAUAUGUUCUACCGGUGGAUUCAGGGGAUAUUCGCAGUUUUCGUGUCACUUUGAGCUGGUGCCGGAUUAGCUAGUUGGCAGGGUAAAGGCCCACCAAGGCAACGAUACGUAGCUGGUCUGAGAGGAUGAUCAGCCACACAGGAACUGAGACACGGUCCAGACUCCUACGGGAGGCAGCAGUAGGGAAUAUUGGACAAUGGGCGCAAGCCUGACCGAGCAAUACCGCGUGAGUGAUGAAGGCCUUCGGGUUGUAAAGCCCUGUUAUUAGGAAAGAAAAACUGCAGGAGAAUACCCCGCUGUUCUGACGGUACCCAAAGAGAAAGCACCGGCUAACUACGUG